ensembl:lncRNA LINC00331 long intergenic non-protein coding RNA 331
ACCAUGUGUGGACACAGCAAGAAGGCAGCAUCUAUAAGCUAGGAAGGAGGCCCUCACCAGACUUGGAAUCUGCUGGCUUCCUGAUCUUGGCCUUUCUAGCCUCCAGAACUACUAGAAUGAGGUGAAGCCAGAAAGGAAGAGUCAUAAUCAAAGAAGAGAGUGAUCAAGAAUCCAAAAUAGACAGAGAGAGCAGGCUCUUAGAGAAAUGGGAGAACUACCGCACUGACUCUGCACGUAGGAGACAGGCAGGAGAGGAGCGCCCCAGCCAGAGCUCAACAUGCGCAAACAGGAAGUGUGUCCGAGGUUUUCUGGAGCUCACAGGAGCCGGGGACCCACAGCCAGACGUUUAUCUGAAAGAAAAGCAGACAAGACAAACUAAAUCAGCAACCAUCCCUUUGGAUGCCAGCUGACCUCGGAUGGAGAUUUAGUGCUAGAUGUAAAAGGCUUUGUUUACAGACAAUUAAAAACCACAUAAAUUUAAAUUGUCAAAGAAGAAAUGGUUUCCAAAGCUUCUAACAGCCUGGUAGCCCCUCCUCAGCCCUGUGCAGGAAAGGCCCAGAGGCAAAUACAAAGCCACCAACCCAAAUGCCUGUGGAGUUUGCCAGAAAGCCAGAUCCUGCUGCUUCUGCUGCUUGUUACUGAUGUUGAAAAAUAAAAUCUUAUACAGCUUCAAA